GGGGUCGUUUGGUUUUGACAGCUUGUGUGUGGAUUUGUAAGCAUGCCGGAUGUUGUGAGACGGUUCCGUUAAAAGCUAACUCUCAUCGCCCAUAAACGGCAACAAUUCUUUUGCUUUUGCAGCGUAAGCUGUAGAAGCUCCGAAGCAUGGUCAAGGACUAUAGCAUCGGAUGUCUCUCCGAAAGCUUCGCCAAUCGGCGUUCGAUUUGAGGCAUCAUAAAUGAUUGGAUAGCGAGCACACUGCCUCAUUGUGUAAGCGAAUUUUUAGAGGUUAAGCUACCGGUUGGUUUGUCAAGUACCUGCCGUCUGCCGACAAGUAAACUUAGACUACGCAUGUAGAAAGCAUCUUUGCAAUAGGUUUGGACGCGGGUUCGACUCCCGCCGGCUCCACAA
rnacentral:tmRNA from 1 species